rnacentral:rRNA from 1 species
CCCUUAGAUGUCCGGGGCCGCACGCGCGCUACACUGAAGGAAUCAGCGUGGCUUUCUCCCUGACCCGAAAGGGUUGGGAAACCCGUUGAAUCUCCUUCGUGAUAGGGAUUGGGGCUUGAAAUUGUUCCCCAUGAACGAGGAAUUCCCAGUAAGCGCGAGUCAUAAGCUCGCGUUGAUUACGUCCCUGCCCUUUGUACACACCGCCCGUCGCUACUACCGAUUGAACGGUUUAGUGAGGGCCUCUGAUUGGUCUCGGCCCGCUCUUUACCGGGCGGCGCCGUUGGUCGAGAAGACGCUCGAACUUGAUCGUUUAGAGGAAGUAAAAGUCGUAACA